AGUUUUGAGCUAAAUAUAUUAUAAUAUUAGUUAUUUAUAAAGGUGUUGUAAAACCUUAUUAAAAAUUAUAUUUAGGGGUGAUAGACCUUUCAAAAACUAAGAUAUCUUGAAUCUAAUUAAAAGUAUGUAGUACAUUCGACACAACUAUUAAGUGAUUAGGCUUUAUAGAAUUAUUAACUUAUAAAGAUUUUAUUUACUAUAAUUUAAUAAUUAAGUAUGUAAAUAUAUUAAUAUAUAUAUAUUAUAAUUUAUAAAGAGUAAUUAGAUAAAUUAAAGUUCAUAAAUUUUGUAAUAAUGUUAAUAUUAGUAUUAAGUUUAUAUUUAUAUGAUGAACUCGGCAAAAAUGCUUCUCAACUGUUUAUCAAAAACAUAACUAUGUGAAUUAAUACAUAGCGGUUUCUGCUCAA
rnacentral:rRNA from 1 species